GACGUAGGGCGCGAGCGUUGUCCGGAUUUAUUGGGCGUAAAGAGCGUGUAGGCGGCCAGGUAGGUCUGCUGUGAAAACUCGAGGCUCAACCUCGAGACGUCGGCGGAAACCAUCUGGCUAGAGUCCGGAAGAGGAGAGUGGAAUUCCUGGUGUAGCGGUGAAAUGCGCAGAUAUCAGGAAGAACACCCGUGGCGAAGGCGGCUCUCUGGGACGGUACUGACGCUGAGACGCGAAAAGCGUGGGGAGCGAACAGG
rnacentral:rRNA from 1 species